UACGAGGGGGGCAAAUGUUGUUCGGAAUCACUGGGCGUAAAGGAAGCGUAGGCGGGUGUUUAAGUUAGGAGGUUAAUCCCAGGGCCCAACCCUGGUCGUGCACUUAAAACUGGACAUCUUGAAUAGGGGAGAGGUCAGUGGAAUUGGGGGUGUAGCGGUGGAAUGCGUAGAGAUCCCCAAGAACACCAGUUGCGAAGGCGGCUGACUGGACCCUUAUUGACGCUGAGGCUCGAAAGCAUGGGGAGCAAACAGG
rnacentral:rRNA from 1 species